AUUAACUUUAAUUAAAUCACACACAUUUCGUCACAUGUUCCGGGGUGCUUGAGUAAUCAUUCAUACCAAGUCGGAUUCAUGGGAAAUGUGGAGGCCUAAC
rnacentral:sRNA from 13 species